AUAUUCUCCCGAAAGGGAGGGAUGAGAACCCUCGACUGAGGGUUCGACAACUGGCGAUAGCCAGUUGGACAGCCUGAGAGCGCAGCGAACAGGCUGCCCGCAGGGCGAGCGCAGCGAGUCCAUCCCUCCCUCACCGCCA
rfam:Leclercia adecarboxylata strain I1 Leclercia_S84_R1__paired__contig_20, whole genome shotgun sequence.